UACGUAGGGUGCAAGCGUUGUCCGGAAUUAUUGGGCGUAAAGAGCUCGUAGGCGGUUUGUCGCGUCGAAUGUGAAAACCCGGGGCUCAACCCCGGGCCUGCAUUCGAUACGGGCAGACUAGAGUUCGGUAGGGGAGUCUGGAAUUCCUGGUGUAGCGGUGAAAUGCGCAGAUAUCAGGAGGAACACCGGUGGCGAAGGCGGGUCUCUGGGCAACAACUGACGCUGAGAAGCGAAAGCGUGGGGAGCGAACAGG
rnacentral:rRNA from 1 species